rnacentral:rRNA from 1 species
UGGGGAAUUUUGGACAAUGGACGAAAGCCUGAUCCAGCAAUGCCGCGUGUGUGAAGAAGGCCUUCGGGUUGUAAAGCACUUUUGUCCGGAAAGAAAUCCUCUGGGUUAAUACCUCGGGGGGAUGACGGUACCGGAAGAAUAAGCACCGGCUAACUACGUGCCAGCAGCCGCGGUAAUACGUAGGGAGCAAGCGUUGUUCGGAUUUACUGGGCGUAAAGGGCGCGUAGGCGGCGCGGUAAGUCACUUGUGAAAUCUCUGAGCUUAACUCAGAACGGCCAAGUGAUACUGCUGUGCUAGAGUGCGGAAGAGGCAACCGGAAUUCUUGGUGUAGCGGUGAAAUGCGUAGAUAUCAAGAGGAACACCUGAGGCGAAGGCGGGUUGCUGGGCCGACACUGACGCUGAUGCGCGAAAGCCAGGGGAGCAAACG